rnacentral:lncRNA from 1 species
GGGAUGGAUACAGCAGACCCCCUGGCCUGGAGCAAGCACCCUUGGGUGUCCAGAAAGGAGGCCAAAUGCAGGGAAGGUUGCCUCUCAUCAAUACCAUGCUCUGCCCUCUGCUCAGGUGGUCUUAUUUCUGCCUUCCUACUCCAGGGCUCCUAUCUGUAGCCUCCCAUCCAUUUGCCACCCACCUGGCCGCCAGCCUCAUCAUCCCCUUCUCCUCGAGCUGGGGCCUCCUGAUCUUCAGAAACAGACUCCCCCUCAUCUCCAGAUCCCAGGGAGCAGGAGAAAUUCAAGCACUGGCCAGCACUGCAUCCUUGAACUCCUCAGCAAGGCACCAAAGUUCUCCAU